AGAGACACGGUGGAGGACGGGUGUGUGCAGUGCGCCCACCGUCUCUUCAUGCAAACCCUAUAUCUGUGAUUUUAGUAGGAUAGUUUUAUAUAAGUUGCAGGAUGUGUCGAGCAGGACUAUGGGCCGUCGUGGUCCUCAUCGCAACCGCCGCCUCUGCCCAACUCAACCAGGAGGACGAUCUCUUCCACUGUCCAGAAAGUAAGUACCGACAUGUGGCAACACCGCAGCAGCUGAUGCCACAUUACUGUUCUCGGC